rnacentral:lncRNA from 1 species
GGGAGAUCUAAAAUCGAAAAUACUAUGUAAAUAAUCCAUUACCUUUGAUUCUCUUCAUCAGAUGUCACUUCCAGGUAUCACAGGUCCAUAACGAAUGUAGUUUUGUUCAAAAAAGCUCAUCAUUUAUGUCCAAAAAUCUCCGUCUUGUUAGCACAUGAUCUAAGCCCGCCGGACUUCACUUCAUGAACGAGGGGGAAAAAAUAUAUUUACGUUCGUUCAAACAUGUCAAACGUUGUAUAGCAUAAAUCAUUAGGGCCUUUUUUAACCAGAACAUGAAUAAUAUUCAAGGUGGACGAAUGCAUUCUCUUUUAUAACGUAUUGGAACGAGGGUACCCAACAUGAACUCGCGCCAGGUGUCUAAUGCGCCAUCAUCGUUCCAUGGCUCUUGUUCGGUCAGAUCUCCCUCCAGAAGACUCAAAACACUUUGUAAAGGCUGGUGACAUCUAGUGGAAGCAAUAGGAAGUGCCAAAAUAUUCCUCAGCCCCAGUGUUUUUCAAUGGCAUAGGUUUAAAGGUAAUACAACACAUCAGGUAUCCACUUCCUGUCAGAAAAUGUCUCAGGGUUUUGCCUGCCAAAUGAGUUCUGUUAUACUCACAGACACCAUUCAAACAGUUUUAGAAACUUUAGGGUGUUUUCUAUCCAUAUAUAAUAAGUAUAUGCAUAUUCUGGUUACUGGGUAGGAUUAGUAACCAGAUUAAAUCGGGUACAUUUUUUUAUCCAGCCGUGCAAAUACUGCCCCCUAGCCCUAACAGGUUAAGGGGAUUCUUGCUAUUGCAAGUGGACAGACGGGUUUUGAUUCCUACUGUGAAGCCUUUUUUGGUUAGCCUGAUCCCAGAUCUGUAUCUGGGACCAGGCUUUGUUUGUUUGAACCCCAGUGACCCCAGUGACACACUCCAGUGACCCCAGUGACUUUCACUGUAUGCCAAUGCUACACAGUCAAUGGCAGAUUGAGUUGCUAUAUCAUAACUUAUUUUACCCACAAUGACUUGGAAUGUGCACUAUUAUCAGUGUUGUUUGUAUUCUAUGCUCUUGUGGUUAUGGGCCUAUGGAGGCCCUCUAUGCCCAAUGUGUGCAAUGCCAACACCAAGACAAGUGCUCCCUAUCUGAUUUUGUCAGUUCACGGUUCAUGUUUGGGUAGGCCUAUAAUUAUGAACAUUCAAAGGCCAUAUGGUCUUUAUCAUAGAGAUCCUAUAAGACAUAUGUUCUAUCCCCUUUAUCAGAUGAAAUGUCCAUUUUAACCUGUACCAGCAAGAUCUCCUGUCUGUGAUGGAGUCAUUGAGCUACUGAUAACGACAAACUUUUAAAUGUUGUAUUGCUAUUUUUAUAAAGCUUUCUGGAUCUGAUGAUUGUUUGAAUAAAUGUUUAUGUUCCCAUGUUACUGUAGGUCUGUACUUCACAUCGUACUGGAUACUGAGAAGAUAUUUGCAGUUAAACAUUUGCUCACUAGAUGGCAACACCAACUCACAGAGAGGAUGCAGUACGUUUGUGUCCUAUGUUGUAGGAGUACUGGAUGUUCUGGAUGGGGAAAACUAAUGGGAUGUGGCUGAUGGGCAACUGAUAUUUCAUUUCUGAAUUGGU